UACGUAGGGUGCGAGCGUUAAUCGGAAUUACUGGGCGUAAAGCGUGCGCAGGCGGUUUUGUAAGCCAGAUGUGAAAUCCCCGGGCUUAACCUGGGAAUGGCAUUUGGGACUGCAAGGCUUGAGUGCGGCAGAGGAGACUGGAAUUCCUGGUGUAGCAGUGAAAUGCGUAGAUAUCAGGAGGAACACCUGCGGCGAAGGCGGGUUGCUGGGCCGACACUGACGCUGAGGCGCGAAAGCCAGGGGAGCGAACGGG
rnacentral:rRNA from 1 species